CAAUAGCGUAUAUUAAAGUUGUUGCGGUUAAAAAGCUCGUAGUUGGAUUUCUGCUGAGAACGACCGGUCCGCCCUUUGGGUGUGUAUCUGGCUCUUUCUUGGCAUCUUCUUGGUGAACGUUGCUGCACUUGACUGUGUGGAGCGCUACCCAGGACUUUUACUUUGAGGAAAUUAGAGUGUUUCAAGCAGGCAUACGCCUUGAAUACAUUAGCAUGGAAUAAUAAGAUAGGACCUCGGUUCUAUUUUGUUGGUUUCUAGAGCUGAGGUAAUGAUUAAUAGGGAUAGUUGGGGGCAUUCGUAUUUAACUGUCAGAGGUGAAAUUCUUGGAUUUGUUAAAGACGAACUACUGCGAAAGCAUUUGCCAAGGACGUUCCCAUUAA
rnacentral:rRNA from 1 species